rnacentral:rRNA from 1 species
UACGGAGGGUGCAAGCGUUGCUCGGAAUUAUUGGGCGUAAAGGGUAUGUAGGUGGUCUCAUUUGUCUGGGGUGAAAGCCUUGAGCUUAACUCAAGAAGUGCCCCAGAAACGGUGAGACUAGAGUUCUGGAGAGGGUCGUGGAAUUCCCGGUGUAGCGGUGAAAUGCGUAGAGAUCGGGAGGAACACCAGAGGCGAAGGCGGCGACCUGGACAGAUACUGACACUCAACUACGAAAGCGUGGGGAGCAAACAGG